rnacentral:rRNA from 1 species
UGGAGGUAUGUGGUUUAAUUCGAUGCAACGCGAAGAACUUACCUGGUCUUGACAUCCCGGAGACCCUUAGGAAACUAGGGGUGCUUCCAUCUGGAAGAAUCUGGAGACAGGUGCUGCAUGGCUGUCGUCAGCUCGUGUCGUGAGAUGUUGGGUUAAGUCCCGCAACGAGCGCAACCCUUGCCUUUAGUUGCCAGCAGUUCGGCUGGGCACUCUAAAGGGACUGCCGGUGUUAAACCGGAGGAAGGUGGGGAUGACGUCAAGUCCUCAUGGCCUUUAUGACCAGGGCUACACACGUACUACAAUGGCCGAUACAAAGGGCAGCGACACUGCGAGGUGAAGCCAAUCCCGUAAAAUCGGUCUCAGUCCGGAUUGGAGUCUGCAACUCGACUCCAUGAAGUUGGAAUCGCUAGUAAUCGUGGAUCAGCAUGCCACGGUGAAUACGUUCCCGGGCCUU